GUCAGAAAAAAUUAAACAUUUAUUGGGCAUAAAUAUAUUAUAUAACACAGGCUACCGAUACAGUUAGGUCUUACAUACAGAGGGGUAGUAUUUGCAAAAUCUAUACAUUAAAAUUGAUAUGGCGGUUUAUUUUAUAUAAUGCAUAUGAAAUAGUCUAACAUUAACAAUACAAAGUAGUAGAAAUGUAUGCAAAUUUUUUUCCUUUCAAAUCGUAGCCCAUGACAACAUUGGAAUGUUUGUUUUGGUAAGUGUGAGGUACAAAUAUGUUGUUUUGGUUUCAGACUAAUAUUUUUUUUAAUACAUACAAGUCUUCAUACAUUAAUCUGGGACAGUUACCCAUUCAAUCUCUAAACUCUCAUAUUCAAAUUCCAUAUUUUCAGUUUCAAUUUGUUUUACUAUUAAUCAGACUAAAAAAAGUAACCAAUCAGAAGGCACAGUUGCUGGGUUACUGGGCAGAAGUAUCUGUUUUGUUCAGGACCCACUAGGUGAGCAGGACCAGAAGGGUCUAAAGAUUUUCCUAAAUACAAAUCUUACAGGGUGUACCCUGCUCACACUGACAAGUAGCCACUGGGCCAAGCCCUGGAAACACUAGCCAAAAGCCUUUAGGAAACAUAUUAUUGGUGAUAUCACAGGCCUAACAUUGGCCUACCAUUAUCCUAACCUUAGCCUAUAACAUUAGGCAUUAUUAGGGAGUAUGGACAGGAGUAUUUCGUGACCAUAUGUCCUAACCAUCCUGGUCAAUUCACAUGGUCAGGGAAAACUCCUGUCCCUAGACAUGAGGAAUUACUUGGCUGUAAAAGGCUUGGGGGAGAUUUAACACAUCAGGAACAAUUUGGCUGUAAAAGGCUUGGGGGAGAUUUAACACAUCAGGAACGAUUUGGCUGUAAAAGGCUUGGGGGAGAUUUAACACAUCAGGAACAAUUUGGCUGUAAAAGGCUUGGGGGAGAUUUAACACAUCAGGAACAAUUUGGCUGUAAAAGGCUUGGGGGAGAUUUAACACAUCAGGAACGAUUUGGCUGUAAAAGGCUUGGGGGAGAUUUAACACAUCAGGAACGAUUUGGCUGUAAAAGGCUUGGGGGAGAUUUAACACAUCAGGAACGAUUUGGCUGUAAAAGGCUUGGGGGAGAGUUAACACAACAGGACAUAUCAACAGUCUUUUUUCUAACUAAGACAGGUGGACAGGAAAGAUGGACACAACAUGACAAAGUCACGUCAGAUGACAGAGUAACGCUGUAUGACACAGCAACACCAAAUGACCCAACAGUGCCAGACGACUCAGUCACAACAAUGACGUAGUCAAAACUCCAGACGACAUAGUAAUGCCAAUGUAACAGAGUGCCCGGCGGGCAGCUGUGGGUGUCUGGUAUCAAAACAAGAAGAUGUCUGAUGAAAAGCAUCACGGUUCUCGCAGGACAGACACUUACCCUGUGGGCUAAGGGUCUACCGCUUUAAAAGUGCUCCAUAUAAUCUGUUAGUUGUACUUGCCUCAUUUUAGCGUCAAUACUACAUCUCUUAUACGUAUAAUAACUCUGCACUGACUAUCAAUUCUAAGCAAAAACACUGGACACAAAAUAAUCACUAAGGCUCUUUAUACGACGACAAGCUGGGAAAAGUAUUCCUCAUCAUCCUCAUCCUCAUCGGUCUGACUGACAUCCUGAUUUGAUUGUUGUAGUCUUUUUGACCUUUUUUCAGUGUGAAAUCAGCGUGUUAAGACUCAAUAAAGGGGUAGUAUAUUUAACAAUAGAACAUUUAAUACAUUUAGCUUCACAAAAAAAAUCUACAUAAAAACAAAAAUAUGAAAGAAGCGUAAAUCACAGAUCAAGUUAUGUCUUUCCUUUUUGAGAGGAUAAUAAUGUGACAGGAAUAAUAAUGCUGUGUGGUCACAGAGGGAACAUCAAGGAACCCUUGAGAACGUAGAUGACAUUGAAAGGAACGUGUGUGUGUGUCACACACACAAAGUAAAAUGGUAUGACACAAGCCUCGACUUUGGCAGAAAUAAACCAAACAGAUAUGAUAUCAAACACAUCUUAAUCUAUAACAUUAGGCAGUAUAAACGACAAAUUAAGGCAACUAUUGUUCUGACUCCCCGAGACACCACACACCUUCCCACUGAGGGGGCACUGUACAUCGUCCCAAGACUGUGUUAGCCCCUGGAACUGAAGCCUAGGGCAUUAGCCAUGCGGAGCUAACCUGAGUCUUCAAGUCGCGUCAUACUGUCUGAAUAAUGGAAACUCUAACAGAAUCCCGGCUCAAACGGUAGAAUUAAAGUCAGUACCGCCACCUUCUGCCGUCCUCUUCAAGCACUGGUUACAGUAACUGUAAAGAGUACCUUCAUACCUUAUUUCACCUUCAGAGUACCUUCAGAAACUCUCCGGGAAAAAAGCUGCUACCUAGAGCAUAUAAGGGUUCUUCGACUGUCCCCAUUGGAGGGUUGGAACCCAAAAGAGUUCUCCUAUGGGGACAGCCGAAGAACCCUUUUGGAACCCUUUUUUUCUAAGAGUGUACAUUAUUUAACCACCAGUGCCCCCUCAGAGUUGUACGGUACGUCAUGCCUGUGCUUAAAUCCCAAUACAGACACCAACAUAACCUUAAAAACAGAAAAGGUAACGUUUCUGAAGACACUCUGUGUGUUCGCUCCAGCUGUCUAAAAUCUUUACCAAUAUAACCUGGCUAACGGUUUGCUACAUCUCUUAAUGCAUACAGAAAACCACACAGGCUGGUCAUAACCGUGAAAUCAUGACAGAACCAUUCUAAAGCCACCAUUAUUGGUGUUAUGACGUGAUGGUCACAUGACUAUGGAUAAGAGCCAGUUCUGUGUGUCAGAGAGGAGAUGACAAGGACAGACAUUUGGUUACCAUGUUAAAAAAGGCACUGAUACAGACAUACAGAAUAAUGAAACAACUACAGGUUUUCCCAACAACUGUAAGAGAAUAAAUGAGAUAUGUAAUUGGCUACUGAGAGUACGAAAUGCUGGCCUUUAAUCAAACAUCUAAAAUAACAUCCAAUAAAACUGAAACAUGAUCAUAAUAACAAUAUAACAUGCUAUGAGAGAAAAAACAAAUUAGUACAUUUAUAACUACACUUAAUUUUUUAUUUUUUAAACAAUAAAUAACUGAAAAGAUUGCACUGUAAUUGGCUUGUAAAGUACUGUAUGCAAAUAUUCUAUUGUAUAUAAAUAAAGGUAUAGAACCAAUAGAGAAAUUGUAGCGUAACUUUCCCAUCGACUUUGGCAAAGGUGCUGGAGCAGUUAAAGGCUCUGCUAACUGACGAGUAGGAGCGAAGCACAGCUUAGAGAGAGAGAGAGAGAGAGAGAGAGAGAGAGAGAGAGAGAGAGUGGGAUGAUAACAGUAGGAGCGAAGCACAGCUUAGAGAGAGAGAGAGAGAGAGAGAGAGAGAGAGAGAGAGAGAGUGGGAUGAUAACAGUAGGAGCGAAGCACAGCUUAGAGAGAGAGAGAGAGAGAGAGAGAGAGAGAGAGGGAUGAUAACAGUAGGAGCGAAGCACAGCUUAGAGAGAGAGAGAGAGAGAGAGACACAGAGAGAGAGAGAGAGAGAGAGAGGGAUGAUAACAGUAGGAGUGAAGCACAGCUUAGAGAGAGAGAGUGAGAGAGAGAGAGAGUGGGAUGAUAACAGUAGGAGG
ensembl:lncRNA